rnacentral:lncRNA from 1 species
CACAGAGAAAGAGAGAGCAUCCUGGAGGCUGUGCUAGCCAUGGAGGCUGAGGAGAAUGAAUGAAAGCAGAGCUGUUUAUUCUGCCAUGAGAGACACUGUGGCAUUCCUCAGUUUAUCUCAUCAGCCCUUUUCCCUGACACUGGCCAGUCACCUGCCACUGAAAUGGAGCCACCUGAAAAAACCACAUCCAUCCUGGCCUGGACCCUUUCCCUCAUGAUGUCCACUCCCACUAACCCCUUUCUUCUUAACGCCAGGAAGCAUUGCCAGAUUGAAGUGUGUGGAUUCCAAGAGCAACUUUCAGCUUGUCUAGACACCCUCUGCCACCCCCCAAGCAGAGGCACAGGUCCUAGUGGUGUCACCCUAUCUCAUCAAGGAAUCCAUGGGCAAUGUACCCCCAGCUGCCUUACUGAAGUGAAGAGAGCUUGACAUCAGAGGGCUUCCUCUCCCAUCUGAGUUGCCUCUCUGAGGUCAUGGGCACCGCAGACCACAUUUGGCAAGAACCUACGGGGAGUGGGACCGCUUCUUGAAGAGCUCUCUCAGAACUGGUGACCCAUUGGUCAGCUUCUCUAGCUAGGACUCUACCUGGGACAGAGGAAAGAAACAGGAGACUGAAGGUGGGGACGGGGGUGUGGCGACAACCCAGCACCGGCGUCUGGGAAAAACGAAGAACCUAAGCUGCCUGGAUCCCUG